GGCUAGCCCAGCGCGGCGUGUGGAUGGAUGGGCGCCAUUUGAGGGCUUCAGCAUCAUUAGGCGCGCAGUUCCAGCCUGCCGGGUGGCUU
rnacentral:tRNA from 1 species